GAGCGGCGAACGGGUGAGUAAUACAUCGGAACGUGUCCCGUAGUGGGGGAUAGCUCGGCGAAAGCCGGAUUAAUACCGCAUACGAUCACGGAUGAAAGCGGGGGACCGCAAGGCCUCGCGCUAUGGGAGCGGCCGAUGUCCGAUUAGCUUGUUGGUGAGGUAAAGGCUCACCAAGGCAACGAUCGGUAGCUGGUCUGAGAGGAUGAUCAGCCACACUGGGACUGAGACACGGCCCAGACUCCUACGGGAGGCAGCAGUGGGGAAUUUUGGACAAUGGGGGAAACCCUGAUCCAGCCAUGCCGCGUGAGUGAAGAAGGCCUUCGGGUUGUAAAGCUCUUUUGGCCGGAAAGAAAAGGUCGCGGAUAACACCUGCGAUUUUUGACGGUACCGGCAGAAUAAGCACCGGCUAACUACGUGCCAGCAGCCGCGGUAAUACGUAGGGUGCGAGCGUUAAUCGGAAUUACUGGGCGUAAAGCGUGCGUAGGCGGUUCCGCAAGUCCGCUGUGAAAUCCCCGGGCUUAACCUGGGAAUGGCAGUGGAAACUAUGGGACUUGAAUCCGGCAGAGGGGGGUGGAAUGCCACGUGUAGCAGUGAAAUGCGUAGAGAUGUGGCGGAACACCGAUGGCGAAGGCAGCCCCCUGGGCCGAGAU
rnacentral:rRNA from 1 species